AUGGACGUCGAUACUUCAAAUGUCGCAGCACAUGGGUUCGAGGUUGGGUUCAUUGAUCUUGACUACAACGCGCUCGAUUCAGGUGGACCGAUGCAGUUCUUGCUUGAGGAGAUGUGCCAUGGCAAUGUCGACAAUGCUGGUGCAUCUGGCAUUCAGGGAGUUGCUAGAAUUUCGAAGCUUGAUGUCACAUAUAACACAAUGAAUGAUCUUUACGGGAAGGCCAGGAAGAUCAAGGAUGCGAGCUGCCGCCGUCGCCUCCAGACACCCUUCAUCGAUCUCCGGCGCGCUGUCCUCCUCCAAGAGCCACCCUCUGUCCCCACCCUGACCGGCGGCGGCGGCGGCGGCGCAAGAGAGGCUGCUGUCAUCGAUCCGUCCGAUGAGCGCCUCGCCACCAUGUCCCUGCGCGAGCAGACGGCGCUGCUGUCGCGGCAGUGGCACUGGCGCCGCGCCCGCGAUCUGUUCGACCGCAUGCGCGCGCUCCCGGGGUACGCGCCUGUCACAUCCUGAUUUUUGUUUC
rnacentral:lncRNA from 1 species